AACGAACGCUGGCGGCAUGCCUAACACAUGCAAGUCGAACGGGUGUAGCAAUACAUCAGUGGCGCACGGGAUAGUAACGCGUGGGAAUCUGCCUCGUAGCUCGGAAUAACACCGGGAAACUGGUGCUAAUACCGAAUACGCCCUUCGGGGGAAAGUUUUUCGCUAUGAGAGGAGCCCGCGUUGGAUUAGCUAGUUGGUGAGGUAACGGCUCACCAAGGCGACGAUCCAUAGCUGGUCUGAGAGGACGAUCAGCAUCACUGGGACUGAGACACGGCCCAGACUCCUACGGGAGGCAGCAGUGGGGAAUAUUGGACAAUGGGGGAAACCCUGAUCCAGCAAUGCCGCGUGAGUGAUGAAGGUCUUCAGAUUGUAAGGCUCUUUUGGCAGGGACGAUGAUGACGGUACCUGCAGAAUAAGCUCCGGCUAACUUCGUGCCAGCCGCCGCAGUAAGAC
rnacentral:rRNA from 1 species